UCUUCCCGAGAGCACGUCUGCCUGAGCGCCUG
rnacentral:rRNA from 2 species